rnacentral:piRNA from 1 species
UAGCCAACCAACUGUUGAGGUGUGUACAC